rnacentral:tRNA from 1 species
GGAGUUGUGGCUCAGUGGUAGAGCGCUUGCCUAGCAUGUGUGAAGUACUGGGUUCGACCCCCAGCACCA